rnacentral:rRNA from 1 species
CCUACGGGAGGCAGCAGUAAGGAAUAUUGGUCAAUGGACGAAAGUCUGAACCAGCCAUGCCGCGUGAAGGAUGAAGGCCCUCUGGGUUGUAAACUUCUUUUAUCUGGGACGAAAAAAGCUCAUUCUUGAGCACUUGACGGUACCAGAGGAAUAAGCACCGGCUAACUCCGUGCCAGCAGCCGCGGUAAUACGGAGGGUGCAAGCGUUAUCCGGAUUCACUGGGUUUAAAGGGUGCGUAGGUGGGUCUGUAAGUCAGUGGUGAAAUCUCCGAGCUUAACUCGGAAACUGCCAUUGAUACUAUAGGUCUUGAAUCAUCUGGAGGUAAGCGGAAUAUGUCAUGUAGCGGUGAAAUGCUUAGAUAUGACAUAGAACACCAAUUGCGAAGGCAGCUUACUACGGGUGUAUUGACACUGAGGCACGAAAGCGUGGGGAUCAAACAGGAUUAGAUACCCUGGUAGUCCACGCCCUAAACGAUGGAUACUCGACAUCAGCGAUACACUGUUGGUGUCUGAGCGAAAGCAUUAAGUAUCCCACCUGGGAAGUACGACCGCAAGGUUGAAACUUAAAGAGUAGUAGCGUGAGAGAGACGACGACGACGACGAGGAGGAGGAGG